CAGUAGCCGCGGUAAUACGAAGGGUGCAAGCGUUAAUCGGAAUUACUGGGCGUAAAGCGCACGCAGGCGGUUUGUUAAGUCAGAUGUGAAAUCCCCGGGCUUAACUUGGGAACUGCAUUUGAAACUGGCAAGCUAGAGUCUUGUAGAGGGGGGUAGAAUUCCAGGUGUAGCGGUGAAAUGCGUAGAGAUCUGGAGGAAUACCGGUGGCGAAGGCGGCCCCCUGGACAAAGACUGACGCUCAGGUGCGAAAGCGUGGGGAGCAAACAGGAUUAGAUACCCCUGUAGUCCCUGUCUCUUAUAC
rnacentral:rRNA from 1 species